UUUUACCAUUUUGUCGGCGUGAUUGAUUUAUACAUAUUAGUACCAAAUUUCAGCUUUCUAGUGCUAAUGGUCACUGAGAUUAUCCGCGGACGGACGGACGGACGGACGGACGGACGGACGGACGGACAGACAUGGCGAAACUAUAAGGGUUCCUAGUUGACUACGGAACCCUAAAAAGUGACAUUUGAUGAAGUGGAACUGCUGAUGAUGAUCAGAACGGAACUCUUCAACGACGCAUAGUUCACGGUUGGCGAUUU